rnacentral:lncRNA from 1 species
AGUCAGCUGAAAGAAGAGAAGUCAGCUGACACGGAAAAGGAAGAGACGUCAGCUGACACGGAGAAGGAAGAGAAGUCAGCUGACAUGGAGAAGGAGGUGAAGUCAGCUGGCACGCAGAAGGAGGUGAAGUCAGUUGACACAGAGAAGGCAGAGAAGUCACCUGACACAGAGAAGGCAGAGAAGUCAGCUGACAUGGAGAAGGAAGAGAAGUCAGCUGACACAGAGAAGGCAGAGAAGUCAGCUGACAUGGAGAAGGAAGAGAAGUCAGCUGACACGGAGAAGAAGAGAAGUCAGCUGACAUGGAAAAGGAAGAGAAGUCAGCUGACACGGAGAAGGAAGAGAAGUCAGCUGACACCGAGAAGGAAGAG